GACGAACGCUGGCGGCGUGCUUAACACAUGCAAGUCGAACGGUGAAGGGAUCAGCUUGCUGGUUCUGGAUGAGUGGCGAACGGGUGAGUAACACGUGAGUAACCUGCCCCCUUCUUCUGGAUAACCGCAUGAAAGUGUGGCUAAUACGGGAUAUUCUGCGCCUGCUGCAUGGUGGGUGUGGGAAAGAUAUUGUUUCGGUGGGGGAUGGGCUCGCGGCCUAUCAGCUUGUUGGUGGGGUGAUGGCCUACCAAGGCGGUGACGGGUAGCCGGCCUGAGAGGGUGGACGGUCACACUGGGACUGAGACACGGCCCAGACGCCUACGGGAGGCAGCAGUGGGGAAUAUUGCACAAUGGGCGCAAGCCUGAUGCAGCGACGCCGCGUGAGGGAUGGAGGCCUUCGGGGUGUGAACCUCUUUCGCCAGUGAAGCAGGCCUGUCCCUUGUGGGUGGGUUGACGGUAGCUGGAUAAGAAGCGCCGGCUAACUACGUG
rnacentral:rRNA from 1 species